UUGCUCUUCAACGAGGAAUACCUAGUAAGCGUGAGUCAUCAGCUCGCGUUGAUUACGUCCCUGCCCUUUGUACACACCGCCCGUCGCUACUACCGAUUGAAUGGCUUAGUGAGGUCUUGGGAUUGGCUUCGGGGAGCCGGCAACGGCACCCUGUUGCUGAGAACUUGAUCAAACUUGGUCAUUUAGAGGAAGUAAAAGUCGUAACAAGGUUUCCGUAGGUGAACCUGCGGAAGGAUCAUUAUCGAGUUUUGAACGGGUUGUAGCUGGCCUCUCACGAGGCAUGUGCACGCCUGGCUCAUCCACUCUUAACCUCUGUGCACUUUAUGUAAGAGAAAAAAAUGGUGGAAGCUUCCAGGAUCUCGCGAGAGGUCUUCGGUUGAACAAGCCGUUUUUCUUUCUUAUGUUUUACUACAAACGCCUCAGUUAUAGAAUGUCAACUGUGUAUAACACAUUUAUAUACAACUUUCAGCAACGGAUCUCUUGGCUCUCGCAUCGAUGAAGAACGCAGCGAAAUGCGAUAAGUAAUGUGAAUUGCAGAAUUCAGUGAAUCAUCGAAUCUUUGAACGCACCUUGCACUCCUUGGUAUUCCGAGGAGUAUGCCUGUUUGAGUCUCAUGGUAUUCUCAACCCCUAAAUUUUUGUAAUGAAGGUUUAGCGGGCUUGGACUUGGAGGUUGUGUCGGCCCUUGUCGGUCGACUCCUCUGAAAUGCAUUAGCGUGAAUCUUACGGAUCGCCUUCAGUGUGAUAAUUAUCUGCGCUGUGGUGUUGAAGUAUUUAUGGUGUUCAUGCUUCGAACCGUCUCCUUGCCGAGACAAUCAUUUGACAAUCUGAGCUCAAAUCAGGUAGGACUACCCGCUGAACUUAAGCAUAUCAAUAAGCGGAGGA
rnacentral:rRNA from 1 species